UACGUAGGGGGCAAGCGUUAUCCGGAUUUACUGGGUGUAAAGGGUGCGUAGGUGGCGAGGCAAGUCUGAUGUGAAAGCCCGGGGCUCAACCCCGGUAUUGCAUUGGAAACUGUUUUGCUAGAGUGCCGGAGAGGUAAGUGGAAUUCCUAGUGUAGCGGUGAAAUGCGUAGAUAUUAGGAGGAACACCAGUGGCGAAGGCGGCUUACUGGACGGUAACUGACACUGAGGCACGAAAGCGUGGGGAGCAAAC
rnacentral:rRNA from 1 species